GUCCUGGUGGGCGGAGCUUUAUUGAGGCAAGCGCUGUGAAAAGAGCGGGAACUGAAAGGACGGUGCAUGAAGAGGGAGUGGCGAGCUGUAGUGUCUUUCAUAAGGGCCGUGACUGUACAGUAUGGAGGCUGAAUUCUCAUCAGUCCCGGUUUGAGGAUUUGAAGUCCAUCUCCUGUCAAUCUGCAAAACAUAAAUCGUAAUAAGGUCAUGAAAACCAUGAAGGCAGAAGUAGGAUGCAAUGAACCUUACAUUUUGGAAAUCUGGUCUAUGGAAGAGAAAAAGAAAGCAUUGAAGAAGGUUACGUGCCCGGCCAGUGAGAUAAAAUAGAACAUUGGACAACAAUGAACCAGAUCCGUCACAUUCACACAAAUUGGAAACAUUAGUGGGCAUACUCUGUGAACUUUUCAGAGGUCAUUCUGCAGGGAGGGGAGGCUGAGCUCAGAGCUUCAGCUAUUGUCUUAUCUAUACUCUAGUGUAACCUUUCACUGUGCUCUUGUCUGUGAUAAGGAGGUGACUGCUGGGAAGUGAUCUGUACAGAACAGUAAGUCUCAGCUUAGUUUUAGGCCUAGUGGCCAGAAUGGAAACUGCAAGACUUCCAGAUUAUUUUAAAAUAUACAGUGGGGCAAAAAAGUAUU